UAUUAUUUCGAUAUUUCAUGCGUUGAGUGGGUUUUCAAGAGUAGAUUCGAUCCUCCCUAUAUCCUCCCGCAUCACAUAUAAUGACUAGUACUGUGACAUCCCAAAUACUAAUUAAGGUAAAUAGGUGUCAGAUACAGAAACAGAAUAACGACUGCAUGAUAAAAUUUAAUGCGGCGAAACAAAUUAAUAUAAAUCUCUUACAAAUAUAUUUAAGUUCCAAUUACAUAUAUAUAACCAAGGCCAGAAGUAGCUACAAAAUACAAGGUCAAAAUACAGAAGAAUGCCACUUCUUUCACUAUGCUAUUGGACUCAUCAGAGUGUGGAAUAAAUCAUCCACUCAAGUUUUGUGGAUCCAUGGGAUCCUCAUAGACUUCAAUGGGUAGGUCAGCUUGCAGUUCCU
rnacentral:lncRNA from 1 species